rnacentral:rRNA from 1 species
UACAGAGGGUGCGAGCGUUGCCCGGAUUUACUGGGCGUAAAGGGCGCGUAGGCGGUCAGCACAAGUCAGUUGUGAAAUCUCCGGGCUUAACUCGGAAAGGUCAACUGAUACUGUGCGACUAGAGUGCAGAAGGGGCAACUGGAAUUCUCGGUGUAGCGGUGAAAUGCGUAGAUAUCGAGAGGAACACCUGCGGCGAAGGCGGGUUGCUGGGCUGACACUGACGCUGAGUGCGCGAAAGCCAGGGGAGCGAACGGG